GGUGGUUCAGUGGUAGAAUGCUUGCCUUCUAAGUGAGAGACCUGGGUCUGAUUCCUGGCC
rnacentral:tRNA from 1 species